UACGAAGGGGGCUAGCGUUGCUCGGAAUCACUGGGCGUAAAGCGCACGUAGGCGGAUUGCUAAGUCAGGGGUGAAAUCCUGGAGCUCAACUCCAGAACUGCCUUUGAUACUGGCGAUCUCGAGUUCGGGAGAGGUAAGUGGAACUGCGAGUGUAGAGGUGAAAUUCGUAGAUAUUCGCAAGAACACCAGUGGCGAAGGCGGCUCACUGGCCCGAUACUGACGCUGAGGUGCGAAAGCGUGGGGAGCGAACAGG
rnacentral:rRNA from 1 species